UGCCAGCCGCCGCGGUAAUACGUAGGUCCCAAGCGUUAUCCGGAUUUACUGGGCGUAAAGCGUCUGUAGCCGGUUAUACCAGUCUGUUUUCAAAUACUGCGACUCAAUCGUAGAAAGGGAAUGGAUACUAUAUAGCUAGAGGUUGUGAGGGGUUAGUAGAAUUUCCGGUGGAGCGGUGGAAUGCGUUGAUAUCGGAAGGAAUGCCAAAAGCGAAAGCAGCUAACUAUCACAAACCUGACGGUGAGAGACGAAAGUUUGGGUAGCAAACGGGAUUAGAUA
rnacentral:rRNA from 1 species